GACGAACGCUGGCGGCGUGCUUAACACAUGCAAGUCGAACGGAAAGGCCCUGCUUUUGUGGGGUGCUCGAGUGGCGAACGGGUGAGUAACACGUGAGUAACCUGCCCUUGACUUUGGGAUAACUUCAGGAAACUGGGGCUAAUACCGGAUAGGAGCUCCUGCUGCAUGGUGGGGGUUGGAAAGUUUCGGCGGUUGGGGAUGGACUCGCGGCUUAUCAGCUUGUUGGUGGGGUAGUGGCUUACCAAGGCUUUGACGGGUAGCCGGCCUGAGAGGGUGACCGGGCCCCAUGGGGAUUGGGAACCGGCCAAGCUCCAUCUGGGGGCAAGAGGUGGGGAAUAUGCCAAAAGGGCCGGAGCCUUGAUGAAGCACCGCGGGGUGGGGAUUGCGGGCUUCGGGGUGGAAACCGCUUUCGCCUGGGGCGGAACCGUGGUGACGGUAAAUGGUAAAAGAGCCACGGCUAACUACGUG
rnacentral:rRNA from 1 species